CCUGGAUCAGUGCACCUGGUUGCUGAGGGUUACCUGGCUGAAGCAGGUGGUGGCAGCAGAAAAGCCUGACCUCUGAUUUCUUCCAUAAGGUACCUGAAAUCCAAGCCCUGACUAAAUUUCUUUUUUUCUUUUUUUUUGAGACAGAGUCUUGUUCUUUUGCCCAGGCUGGAGUGCAGUGGCACUAUCUCAGCUCACUGCAAGCUCCGUCUCCCAGGUUCACGCCAUUCUCCUGCCUCAGCCUCCCGAGUAGCUGGGACUGCAGGCACCCGCCACCACACCCGGCUAAUUUUUUUUUUUUUUUGAGACGGAGUCUUGCUCUAUCGCCCAGACUGGAGUGCAGUGGUGCGAUCUCCGCUCACUGCAAACUUCGCCUCCCGGGUUCACGCCAUUCUCCUGCCUCAGGCUCCUGAGUAGCUGGGACUACAGGCACCCGCCACCGCGCCCGGCUAAUUUUUUGUAUUUUUAGUAGAGACGGGGUUUCAUCGUGUUAGCCAGGAUGGUCUCGAUCUCCUGACCUCGUGAUCCGCCCGCCUCAGCUUCCCAAAGUGCUGGGAUUACAGGCAUGAGCCACCGCGCCCGGCCCCCGACACCUAGUUUUAAAGGGCCCCUGCUGUUGCUGCCGCUGCCGCCGCUCCCAGCUGCCCAGUCUGGCGGGCUCAGUCCCGCGUUGCCAUGUGUGGGAGACCGCGUCGCGUAAGCGCUGGAUGUGGCUUCGCUGAUGCACAUUGGACCGGGCUCUGGACUGGGCUAGGGGAAGGGCAGGAGGGCGGAAUUGGGCCCGAGGGCCAGGCCUCGCCGACCCCCGACUGCGCCUCCCGGUGGCCCCGCAGCGCCUCCCGGUGGCCCUGGAGUGCAGGUCUUACCGUCCGAGAUCGUCCGCAACUGGGCGAGCUGUGCAUGGGGCGUGGCUAAGGCCGUGGUUUGGUUACGAUUGGCCAGCGGGACUUAAGUGUUGUCUCUGAAGAGCAUGGACAUUAGUCUGGAGGGUCCUGGAAGAGUGAUCCCCGCCCCACCAUCAAAUGGCGCUUAGGUCUAGGAAGCGGGUGUGGGUGGGGCCUUAGGGCGAGGCGCAGACAUACCCCGAAGUGGUUGGAUUGUAUACCGCAAGGGGCUGGAUCGAACCCCCCAAAGACACUGGAAGGCUGUGUGGCUGAGGAGGGCCCGGCAGAUCCAGUGUGUCGUGGGCUUUACAGGAAAGAGCUCCACCUUCUCUGGAGUGUGCAGAUGCGAUCUAGGUGUGUCCACCCGAUGGGAGCUGCGGGCCGGGCAGAUGCUGCCCCAGUACAAAGCUGAUUUGGACCUGGGGCCUCUGGACUUCCCUGAUUCUCUGCUUGCAUCUCCAGCAAAGUCCUGUCCCGUUGGCUGCCUUCAUCCACUCUCUCACUUCUCUGCCUUCAGAGUAAAAUUGCAAGAUCUG
rnacentral:lncRNA from 1 species